GCCUCUGAAGCUCAGUGGCAAAGCACUGGUCUUCUAAAACAAGGGUCGUGACUUCAAUCCUCACAGGAGGCA
rnacentral:tRNA from 1 species